CGAAAAUGUUGUCUCUCUUGAGUGGAUCCUGAGUACGACGGAGCACGUGAAAUUCCGUCGGAAUCUGGGAGGACCAUCUCCUAAGGCUAAAUACUCUCUAGUGACCGAUAGUGAACCAGUACCGUGAGGGAAAGGUGAAAAGCACCCCGGAAGGGGAGUGAAAUAGAACCUGAAACCGUGUGCUUACAAGUAGUCAGAGCCCGUUAAUGGGUGAUGGCGUGCCUUUUGUAGAAUGAACCGGCGAGUUACGAUUUGAUGCAAGGUUAAGCAGUAAAUGUGGAGCCGUAGCGAAAGCGAGUCUGAAUAGGGCGUUUAGUAUUUGGUCGUAGACCCGAAACCAGGUGAUCUACCCUUGGUCAGGUUGAAGUUCAGGUAACACUGAAUGGAGGACCGAACCGACUUACGUUGAAAAGUGAGCGGAUGAACUGAGGGUAGCGGAGAAAUUCCAAUCGAACCUGGAGAUAGCUGGUUCUCUCCGAAAUAGCUUUAGGGCUAGCCUCAAGUGAUGAUUAUUGGAGGUAGAGCACUGUUUGGACGAGGGGCCCCUCUCGGGUUACCGAAUUCAGACAAACUCCGAAUGCCAAUUAAUUUAACUUGGGAGUCAGAACAUGGGUGAUAAGGUCCGUGUUCGAAAGGGAAACAGCCCAGACCACCAGCUAAGGUCCCAAAAUAUAUGUUAAGUGGAAAAGGAUGUGGCGUUGCCCAGACAACUAGGAUGUUGGCUUAGAAGCAGCCAUCAUUUAAAGAGUGCGUAAUAGCUCACUAGUCGAGUGACACUGCGCCGAAAAUGUACCGGGGCUAAACAUAUUACCGAAGCUGUGGAUUGUCCUUUGGACAAUGGUAGGAGAGCGUUCUAAGGGCGUUGAAGCAUGAUCGUAAGGACAUGUGGAGCGCUUAGAAGUGAGAAUGCCGGUGUGAGUAGCGAAAGACGGGUGAGAAUCCCGUCCACCGAUUGACUAAGGUUUCCAGAGGAAGGCUCGUCCGCUCUGGGUUAGUCGGGUCCUAAGCUGAGGCCGACAGGCGUAGGCGAUGGAUAACAGGUUGAUAUUCCUGUACCACCUAUAAUCGUUUUAAUCGA
rnacentral:rRNA from 1 species